rnacentral:rRNA from 1 species
GAUGAACGCUGGCGGCGUGCUUAACACAUGCAAGUCGAACGGUGAAGCAGGAGCUUGCUCCUGUGGAUCAGUGGCGAACGGGUGAGUAACACGUGAGCAAUCUGCCCUGGACUCUGGGAUAAGCGUUGGAAAAGACGUCUAAUACCGGAUACGAGGCGUGGGGGCAUCGCCAACGCCUGGAAAGAACUUCGGUCCAGGAUGAGCUCGCGGCCUAUCAGCUAGUUGGUGAGGUAACGGCUCACCGAGGCGACGACGGGUAGCCGGCCUGAGAGGGUGACCGGCCACACUGGGACUGAGACACGGCCCAGACUCCUACGGGAGGCAGCAGUGGGGAAUAUUGCACAAUGGGCGCAAGCCUGAUGCAGCAACGCCGCGUGAGGGACGACGGCCUUCGGGUUGUAAACCUCUUUUAGCAGGGAAGAAGCGAAAGUGACGGUACCUGCAGAAAAAGCACCGGCUAACUACGUGCCAGCCGCCGCCGUAA